rnacentral:rRNA from 1 species
GCAUGAACGCUGGCGGUAUGCUUAACACAUGCAAGUCGAACGAAAUACGAUGGGGUUUACUCUAUCGUAUGGCAGUGGCGGACGGGUGCGUAACGCGUAAGAACUUACCUUUUGGCGAGGGACAACCGCGGGAAACUGCGGCUAAUACCUCAUAGAGCUGAGGAGCGAAAGGUGAAAACCACCAAAAGAGAGGCUUGCGUCUGAUUAGCUAGUUGGUGAGGGUAAUGUCCUCCCAAGGCGACGAUCAGUAGCUGGUCUGAGAGGAUGAUCAGCCACACUGGAACUGAGACACGGUCCAGACUCCUACGGGAGGCAGCAGUGAGGAAUUUUCCGCAAUGGGCGAAAGCCUGACGGAGCAAUACCGCGUGGAGGAGGAGGGCCCGUGGGUCGUAAACUCCUUUUCUCAGAGAAGAACACAAUGACGGUAUCUGAGGAAUAAGCAUCGGCUAACUCCGUGC